rnacentral:rRNA from 1 species
CAGUCGCCGCGGUAAUACGAAGGGUGCAAGCGUUAAUCGGAAUUACUGGGCGUAAAGCGUGCGUAGGCGGUUUGUUAAGUCUGUUGUGAAAUCCCCGGGCUCAACCUGGGAAUGGCAAUGGAUACUGGCAAGCUAGAGUGUGUCAGAGGAUGGUGGAAUUCCCGGUGUAGCGGUGAAAUGCGUAGAGAUCGGGAGGAACAUCAGUGGCGAAGGCGGCCAUCUGGGGCAACACUGACGCUGAGGCACGAAAGCGUGGGGAGCAAACAGGAUUAGAGACCCCUGUAGUCCCUGUCUCUUAUAA